CUGGUGUGCCUUGUCAUGUGUGUGCUUCCGGAGGUGGCUGUGCUUCUGUAUACAGUCCAGUUCUGUAUAGAGUUCAGUAAUACAGGAUCUUUAUUCCAAACCCAGGAUAUUCAGAAGCAGGUGUAAAAGCAGCAGUGAUGUUGCUGAUACUUUUCAAGAUACUGAGGCCUCUCUUCUGAUCUUUGGACUUCCUUCCACUUCAACUUAUAUGACAGCAAUUCAGGUGAUGGUCUCUGAUGCUUCCUCCCCUUGCUUUGAGACCUUGUUCUCUGCUAUUGAUAUAAAAUGGAAAUAUAUACUACAAGCGGGAAGCUGACAUUGCUGGUGAGAACAGAAAUAAACCC
rnacentral:lncRNA from 1 species